GUGAGUCAUCGAAUCUUUGAACGCAACUUGCGCCACUCUGUGGCAUGUCUGUUUGAGCACCACAUAACCUCUGUCGCAAGACGAACUGCCCAGUUUGACGCCUGGGUCAAAUCGAGUGUACUGUUACAUUGGAGUGGUUUAGUAGUGAACCGAGCUAGAGGUGGGUCGUGGGUGGUAGAGGAGGGUUGGUCUUAAAAACCACCAGAAUCUACCGCACACACCAGAUCUUGUCGGAACCGCCGCCAACCACCCCAACUCACACUGGUCUCAAAUCAGGCAAGACUACCCGCUGAACUUAAGCAUAUCAAUAAGCGGAGG
rnacentral:rRNA from 1 species